rnacentral:rRNA from 1 species
UCCAAGGAGGCAGCAGGCGCGCAAAUUACCCAAUCCCGACUCGGGGAGGUAGUGACAAUAAAUAACAAUGCUGGGCUAUCGUAGUCCGGCAAUUGGAAUGAGAACAAUUUAAAUCCCUUAACGAGGAACAAUUGGAGGGCAAGUCUGGUGCCAGCAGCCGCGGUAAUUCCAGCUCCAAUAGCGUAUAUUAAAGUUGUUGCAGUUAAAAAGCUCGUAGUUGGAUUUCGGGGCGGCCCGACUGGUCCGCCGCGAGGUGAGCACUGGUCGGCCGCCCUUCCUCUCGGAAGCCCCGACUGCUCUUCGCUGCAGUGGUCGGGGAGUUCGGGACGUUUACUUUGAAAAAAUUAGAGUGUUCAAGGCAGGCCUUCGCCUGAAUACAUUAGCAUGGAAUAAUGGAAAAGGACCUCGGUCCCGUUUUGUUGGUUUCUUGGACCGAAGUAAUGAUUAAGAGGGACAGUU